rnacentral:rRNA from 1 species
GACGAACGCUGUCGGCGUGCUUAACACAUGCAAGUCGAACGGAAAGGCCCUGCUUUUGUGGGGUGCUCGAGUGGCGAACGGGUGAGUAACACGUGAGUAACCUGCCCUUGACUUUGGGAUAACUUCAGGAAACUGGGGCUAAUACCGGAUAGGAGCUCCUGCUGCAUGGUGGGGGUUGGAAAGUUUCGGCGGUUGGGGAUGGACUCGCGGCUUAUCAGCUUGUUGGUGGGGUAGUGGCUUACCAAGGCUUUGACGGGUAGCCGGCCUGAGAGGGUGACCGGCCACGUUGGGACUGAGAUACGGCCCAGACUCCUACGGGAGGCAGCAGUGGGGAAUAUUGCACAAUGGGCGGAAGCCUGAUGCAGCAACGCCGCGUGCGGGAUGACGGCCUUCGGGUUGUAAACCGCUUUCGCCUGUGACGAAGCGUGAGUGACGGUAAUGGGUAAAGAAGCACCGGCUAACUACGUGCCAGCAGCCGCGGUGAUACGUAGGGUGCGAGCGUUGUCCGGAUUUAUUGGGCGUAAAGGGCUCGUAGGUGGUUGAUCGCGUCGGAAGUGUAGUCUUGGGGCUUAACCCUGAGCGUGCUUUCGAUACGGGUUGACUUGAGGAAGGUAGGGGAGAAUGGAAUUCCUGGUGGAGCGGUGGAAUGCGCAGAUAUCAGGAGGAACACCAGUGGCGAAGGCGGUUCUCUGGGCCUUUCCUGACGCUGAGGAGCGAAAGCGUGGGGAGCGAACAGGCUUAGAUACCCUGGUAGUCCACGCUGUAAACGGUGGGUACUAGGUGUGGGGUCCAUUCCACGGGUUCCGUGCCGUAGCUAACGCUUUAAGUACCCCGCCUGGGGAGUACGGCCGCAAGGCUAAAACUCAAAGGAAUUGACGGGGCCCCGCACAAGCGGCGGAGCAUGCGGAUUAAUUCGAUGCAACGCGUAGAACCUUACCUGGGUUUGACAUGGAUCGGGAGUGCUCAGAGAUGGGUGUGCCUCUUUUGGGGUCGGUUCACAGGUGGUGCAUGGCUGUCGUCAGCUCGUGUCGUGAGAUGUUGGGUUAAGUCCCGCAACGAGCGCAACCCUUGUUCACUGUUGCCAGCACGUUAUGGUGGGGACUCAGUGGAGACCGCCGGGGUCAACUCGGAGGAAGGUGGGGAUGACGUCAAGUCAUCAUGCCCCUUAUGUCCAGGGCUUCACGCAUGCUACAAUGGCUGGUACAGAGAGUGGCGAGCCUGUGAGGGUGAGCGAAUCUCGGAAAGCCGGUCUCAGUUCGGAUUGGGGUCUGCAACUCGACCUCAUGAAGUCGGAGUCGCUAGUAAUCGCAGAUCAGCAACGCUGCGGUGAAUACGUUCCCGGGGCU